rnacentral:rRNA from 1 species
CAGCCGCCGCGGUAAUACCGGCGGCCCGAGUGGCGGUCACUCUUAUUGGGCUUAAAACGUCCGUAGCCGGGUUGGGAAGGCCUCCGGGAAAUCUGGCCGCUUAACGGUCAGAAUGCCGGAGGAUACUCCCAGCCUAGGGAGCGGGGGAGGCCGAGGGGAUUCCCGGAGUAGGGGGGAAAUCCUAUAAUCCCGGGAGGACCACCUGUGGCGAAGGCGCUCGGCUGGAACGCGUCCGACGGUGAGGGACGAAGGCCAGGGGAGCAAACCGGAUUAGAUACCCGGGUAGUCCUGGCGGUAAACGAUGCGGACUUUGUGUCGGACAAGCUAUGAGCUUGUCCGGUGCCGGAGGGAAACCGUUAAGUCCGCCGCCUGGGGAGUACGGCCGCAAGGCUGAAACUUAAAGGAAUUGGCGGG